rnacentral:rRNA from 1 species
UUGAUCCUGGCUCUCGACGAACGCUGGCGGCGUGCCUAACACAUGCAAGUCGAACGGGAACUGCCUAAAGCUUGCUUUGGACAGUUCUAGUGGCGGACGGGUGAGUAACGCGUGAGGAACCUGCCUUUCACAGGGGGAUAACGUCUGGAAACGGACGCUAAUACCGCAUGACAUUUUAUAGUCUCAUGGCUUUAAAAUCAAUGGAACAAUCCGCUGGAAUAUGGACUCUCGUCCCAUUACCCAGUUGGUGAGGUAACGGCCCACCAAAUCGACGAUCGGUAGCCGGACUGAUAGGUUGAACGGCCACAUUGGGACUGAGACACGGCCCACACUCCUACGAGACAGCAGUGGCAUAUGCCACAAUUGGAGGAAUCUUUGAUGCACAACGCCGCUGAGGGAAGAUCGGUCUUCGAUUGUAAACCUUUGUCUUGGUGAGAUAUGACGGUAGCGAGGAGGAAGCUCCAGGCUACUACUGCCAGCAGCCGCGGUAAUACGUAUAGGAGCAGGUUGUCCGGAUUUAUGGGGUAAAGGGUGCGUAGCGCUUGCAAUCAGUGUGAAAACCAUCGCUCACUGAUGAUGCAUUUGAAACUGUGGGGUCUUGAUGAAGUAAGCAGUGGAAUUCCGUGUAGCCGGUGGAAUGUAGAUCGGGAGGAACCCAGUGGACGUCGGCUGUGGGCUCUUAACGACGUGAGCACAAGCAUGGUGCAACAGGAUUAGAUACUGUAGUCCAGCUGUAACGAUGAUUACUAGUGUGGUGUCUGACUCAUCCGUGCGGAGAUUAACCAAUAAGAUAAUCAUGGGGAGUACGACCGCAUGUGAAACUCAAGGAAUUACGGGGGCCACAAGCAGUGAGUAUGUGGUUUAACUCGAUCUGCACCAGAAGAACCUUACAGUUUGACAUCCAUACGUAUGGCAGAUGAUGCAUUAGGUGCCAUUGGGGAGGUGAGACAGAUGGUGCAUGGCAUGUCGUCAGUGCAGUGUUCGAGUUGCUGUGUUACGCUCCGCACACGAGCUCAACCUGUGAGUCUUGUCACUACUCAAGAGCACGUUCUAUCAGACUGCCGUUGACAAAAUGGAGGAAGGUGGGGGAGAUGUCAAAUCAUCAUGCCCGCAAUAUAACCAAUCACACACGUACUACAAUGGCCGCUCACAGAGGGAAGCAAGACCUCGAGGUGGAGCAAACCCCUAAAAACGGUCUCAAUUCGGAUCGCUGGCCGCAACCCGCAAGCGCGAAGUAGGAAUUUCUUGUAAUCGGGGAUCAUCAUGCCGCGGUGAAUACGUUCCCGGGCUUUGUACACACCGCCCGUCACACCAUGGGAGCUGGUAAUCCCUGAAGUUCGUACUCUAACCGCAAGGAGGACGCCGCCGAAGGUAGGAUUGGCGACUGGUCGAAG